CCUGUUCAGCGGUGUUGGAGGGGCACCGUGCAUGCUGUGCGCUUACCAAGCAACGAUGUUCGUCUGGAUACCACAUAUUUACCUUCGCCGAAGCUGAAGAAGAUACGAAUCGACAGCUAUUGUGAUAUUGCGAUGGACUCUUUUACAACCAGGUUUUCCUCGCGACAGUCUCAUGCAGCAUGAGAUAUUGAGAUAUCACGGUAGAACAACAAAGUAAAUUACAAUCUGUUCACCGAAAGGGCUGAUGUCAAAUCAGAACCAAAUAACUGGCUGAGAAUGGGUUGCAGCGCUAGGACCACGUGUCGCGCAUUAUGUAUCGCUUUGCUGCGGCAGCUGGAGGAGG